UGUUAAAUUGACUGGUGAUGUCCC
rnacentral:piRNA from 1 species